GGAUAGUCAAGAGAAGAACCUAUUCGCCUCUUCCGUUUUCUUAUCCCCUGACAGAGCUUUACGUUCCAAAAAACUUCAUCGCUCACGUGGUAUUGCUGGGUCACCCUUGCGGGCAUUAGCCCAAAAUUCCCGA
rnacentral:rRNA from 1 species